AUUGACCUAAUCUCUUUACUGCCUGCUGCAGAGAAAGACGGAAAGAGAGCAAGAGGGAGAGAAACUCGUUGAACUCAGCGCGUUAAACGAUCUCAUGCAUCCGCGCUGUGGAUAUAUCUAUAUAAAUAUGCACGUUCGUAUAUAUAUUUUUCGUGCAUACAAACAUACCUUGACUGGCGAGUCACCGUGUAUCGAGGAGAAGGACGAUUCGGGGAUUCGAAAAGGGCGGAAUGGGACGCGUGCGGGUAGCGUCCACGUAUUCGAUGCACUCGCGGUUCUACGCUCGCGUAGCAGUGACGCAACGUCGCGCGCGCAUAAAGCCCGUAAUGUCAUUUGUUAUCUUCUAAUAAUAAAUACAUAAAAGUUUUAUUGCGUCUCGGGUUUGAGCGAUACGGGUGCGCGCGCGCGCGCGAGACGUGCUGCGAUGCGGAGGAAAAAUGGUGGAAAAGCGUAAGAAGAAUUGCGAGGGAAACGCCGCUGCAAGUGCAACAAUUCUAGAGACCAACGAAACGAGAAAAGUGAGGAGAAGGAGGAGCAGAAAAAAAUCUCGACGGAUGUGUGCUAAUAAAAAGAACAAAACGAAAAUUAUGUUGCGCAACGUUCCCGCGAUCAUAACCGUCCAUCCGAACCGAUGUACGACACGAAAUUUUUUAAUAUUUUUCUCACCUCGCCUCCUCCCCGCCUCAAGCAACCGAAUGAAAAACAAAAAAGAAUACGAAUACCAUUUUCAUUUCGUAAUUCGUGUUUUUAUCCUACCACAUUAUUCCCUCAUUACGAUACAGUAUUUCCUGCUACUUUUGGCAUCGCGCGCGCGGAGACCGCGAUUGCGUUGUAGAAUAAUUAUUUCAUUUUUUUUAUCUAUUUUUGCAAUAUCUUAUUAAACAUUCUACAUAAAUAAACUGGAUGCCUACAUUUGCAA